GGACAGAUGGCCGAGCUGGUUAUGGCGCCAGGUUAAGGUUAUACCUUAAUAUCAUGUGAUCUUCUUCACUUGUUUGUUUCCUGGUCACGAAAGUGGCGUGGGUUCGAGUCCCACUCUGUUCA
rnacentral:tRNA from 1 species